CCGCCUUCUAAAUACACACACACACACAUUCACUGACAGAUACGCAUACACUCGCUAACAGAAACACACACACACUAACAGACACACUCACUAACAGACACACACUCACUAACACACACACUCACAGGCAAACACACUCACACAGUCAGACACACACACACUCACUGACACACUAACAGACAAACAUAGUCAGACACACACACUAACAGACACACUCGCUCACUAGCAGACACACACACACACACUAACAAACACACACACUCACUGACACACACACACACACACAGGCAAACACACACUCACUGACACACAGUCAGACACACACACAUACACACUAAUAGACACAGUCAGACACACACACACUAACAAAACACACACACAUUAACAGACACACACUCACUCACAUUAACACAUUUUUUUUAUUUAUUUUUAUUUAGCCCCCCCCCCCCUUACCUUUGGGAGUGCUGGGGGGCAGGGGGGUUCAUUACCUCCCUGGUGGUCCAGUGGAU